rnacentral:lncRNA from 1 species
CUUGGACCCCUACAGCUUUGGAACCUGGAGAGCCUAGAAGAGCCACAACCAGCUGGUACAAGUGGCCUUGGGUACCUCUUCAGCCUAUACUAGCUCCAAUGACUGGAAACCAUUUGCAGCAUGUUGAGAGUGCUGCCUUGACCAUCAUGCCAGUCCUCUCUCUGGCUGGGAACGACAUCAGCAAGCUACAGGCCAAAGCCCUUGCAGCCUUGUGGGCACUAGGCCUCUUCUCUCUUGUGGACAACUUACUGCAAACCUAGAGUUCAAGGUAGUGGUUGACAAUCAGACAGCAGGCACAUGGCUGCUGUUGUCCAACAGUCCCUGGAAGUGCUACUGUGACCCGCAGUGGCCUUUGGGAAGUUGGCAUGUGGCCAACCUGGGCAUUUUGACAUGUGCUGGGCAGUGUAGAGGCCCAGCUCUGCUUGGCUGAGAUGGCCAUUGUGCUAGGCAUCAGAGAAUACCAUGCUGGUUACCAUGGCUGUGGUUAUGGAUGAGUGUAAGUGCAGGCAGGGCCCUAGAGGGUCCAGAUAGCUGGGGAGCCCUCUGGAGAAGUGAGGAGGGCUACAGAAGGAGGUCAAGGUAGCUAGAGAAGGGAGGUUGGAAAGUUUCUGAAAAGUUCAAUUGUCUACCCAGACAGAAUUAAAGUAUGGGCAGGGGCAAAGUGGCUAUGUUGAUUUCUCAGGGUCUAAAUAGCCCACCCAUCCCCUCCUCUGACCUAGUACAGUGGCGGCAUCUGUCUCAACUCUAGAAACUAGGAUCUGGCUAUAGUCCUUUCCUUCUCAAUUCUUUGGGAGAGGGUAGUGAAAGAAGAACCUAAACCAGAGAGACUGGCAUGGAGUGGGCACCAAGGAAAGCUUUCUUAAUCCUUAUCUUUCCCCUCUGCACAUAUCAAUAACUUCUGCUGAUGGGCACUUAAUUGAAACACUGCUAAUGUUAUGGUGGGGGACAGCCUGUGGGGACAGCCCAGCUGGGCUUCUAGGAUGAUUUUACGGAUAUUCGUAAUCCCUGUUCUG